AAAUGCUUUAUACAAAUCAGAGAAGGCAGAAAAAGAACGGAACACAAAGAAAAACGUCUCUGGGUUCCGAGACUUCCACUCUCGUCCCAGCCCUGCCCCUGGUCCGGACAUGAGACCCUGUCAAUCAAUCCCAAGGGCGUUGCCCUCCCUGAUGCAGGCCCCAGCCCGGCGAUCGCCCCUCCGCUCCCCAGCCGUGGAACUCUCCCCGCCUCUGAGCUCGCAGAGAGCAGCUGUCUCCUGGGGCAGCACCGGCGGGGGAAGCAGAGCGCUUUCUGGGAGCCAUCACGGGAACGAGUGAAGAAGGCCGGGAGCUUAGCUGUGCAUCUUACACUCAGUUCAUUUCCCUUGGACGGGCUUGCAGUGCCUGCUCGGCAAUGUCCCAGCGCUGCCCGCAUGCGGCCUCCUGCCAUCCAGGUCCCCUCCAGGCCCACAGCUCCCCGACUCGGGCCCGCAGAGACUGACUGUCACGAGACAGGGUCCCGCUGUGGAGUCCAGGCUGGCCUCAAACUCACAGUGAUCCUCCUGCCUCGGCCUCCUCCUGAGUGCUGGAAUUACAGCCGUGUGCCACUGCUGCAAGGGCUAUUGAGAGAUGACUAACACUUUCAAGUUGUACUAGAUAAAACCGAGAUAAGAUUUUAAAGUGAUUUCUUUUGAAUCCAGUGUGAAUUAUUCAAUAGGUAAUUCAAACCUAUUUUAUCAAAUAAAUAAUGAGAUAUAUACUGCAAUUACAAUCAACCCUGAGACUAUUUAAUCUUAUAAAAUGUUUAAAAUGUGUCCCUCUUACACUCCUAUUAAUCAAAAACAAAAUUAAAUGCUGGAAGAGGGAUUAAACGCUAGCUUCCGGACCAAUUCAUUUCAGUAAUAUAUCCCUUUCUCUUUCAUUAAUAAGUUGGGGAGUUUAAUCUCAAUGUCUAAUCAAAUUAAAGGACUUACUUCUGUGUUUUUAUACAAGAUUGUUAUUUAAUUAUUCCCAAAAGCCAAUUCUAAAGUUCAGCAGACAUGCCCAAGCGUGUUUACCAGAGCAAAACAAGAAAAAGC
rnacentral:lncRNA from 1 species